rnacentral:lncRNA from 1 species
AUUUUCUAAUGUUAAUAAAUAAUUUAAAUUAAUGGGAUGGUGGACAUCAGACAAAGAAUACAGUGAAUUUAAAAAUAUAUUAACUUUAUUGGAAAUUACAGAACCGGUCAAAAUUUUGUGUUGUAGGUUACCAAAGUGACCACAAAUACAUUGAGGGCUAUCAGCUAUAUUAAGUUUAAAUAUAUAUGAUGGUGUAAGACAGUGGUUAAAUCUCAUUCUGCAUAUGGUUCUUGUCAUAUCCUUUGUCGACUCCAUUUCAGAAAACCAAGGUUUAUCUAUGAUAUAGUUUCUGAUUGAUCUGUAGUGAGUUCCUGUAUUUAUGUUCUCAUCAAUAUACCUUUCUUUCCAUUCUUUCUUAAUCUCUUUGAAUAAAUUUGAUUCAA